GAGGCUCACGUUGUGAGUAGGCUCAACACCAGGAGCAGUCAUUGUCAAGGAAACCCCUCUUAUGAAUUAUCCCUAGAACUUAGCCUUCAAAGGGGGAUUUCUGGAAUCUCAAAGUUUCCAUUACAAAACCUCAGCACCACCUGGCAGGCUUCUUCCUGCUCCUCAGGGGACAUCUUCCAGAACAUAGCUGUCAGCUUCCUCACUGCCUAGCUAUGUGUUAUUCAAUGACCAUCCUGCUGCUUGGAAUGCUCCUCACAGUGAGAGGAACCGGAGCCCAGUCGGUGACGCAGCCUGAUGCCCAGGUGUUUGUGUCCGAAGGAGCCCGUCUGGAGCUGAGGUGCAACUUUUCCUACAGUGGAACUCCCUAUCUCUUCUGGUACGUGCAGCACCCCAACCAAGGACUCCAGUUUCUCCUCAAGUACACCUCAGGGAACACCUUGGUUAAAGGCAUCAAUGGUUUUGAGGCUGAAUUUAAGAGGCAUGAAAACUCCUUCCACCUGCGGAAAUCCCCAGCUCUUGGCAGCGACACAGCCAAGUACUUCUGUGCUGUGAGUGACACAGUGCCUGGGACCGCAGGGGGAGCUGAACACAAACUUCCUGCGACACUACAGUUUUCAGAGACUCAAGGACACAGUCAGACUUGUUUUUAGCAAGGUCUCUCAUUUGGUGAAAGUGAGCAAGAUGAAGGAAGAGACCUCUGGGCUGGGGGCUGGGGGGUUGCUUGGCUCCUGGCUGCUGAGGAUAAAUAGGAACUUCAAUGUGUAUCUUCUUUUACUACUGGGUCAUGUAUACACGUCCUAGAACAGAGAGGCUUGUAUGGAUAUUCUCCUUCCACUUGGGGGUGUUGUUUACUAGAAGGUCAGGUUUCCAAUUUAAUGUGACCAGUACUGAACUUCUAAUCUUUCACCUUCUGAACUCACCUCCGACAUGCUCCCCCGACUAUCUUUUCCUUUUCACGUCCUAACUGCUCCAUUCUUUCAGUCUCUGGUCAUAACUCAGAGUUAUUUUUGAUUUUUAUUUUUUCUCUCACUGCUUACAGCUAAUCCACCAAAAAAUCCAGGUGGCCUUAUCUUUAAAACUGACCCAUAAUCUGACCACUGCUGCCAUCUCCACGAGCCCUCCCUGGCCAAGCCAGCCUCG